ensembl:snRNA U4 U4 spliceosomal RNA
AGCUUUGCACAUUGGCACUAUCAUAGCCAAUGAGGUUUAUCCGAGGCAGAAUUAUUGCUAACUGAAAACUUUUCCCAAAGCCCCACCAUGACAACGUGAAAUAUAAUCAGCAUCGGCAAUCUUGGGCAGUCUCUGUGGAGA